rnacentral:rRNA from 1 species
UACGGGGGGGGUAAGCGUUGUUCGGAUUUACUGGGCGUAAAGGGCGCGUAGGCGGCCACCGCAAGUCGACUGUGAAAUCUCUGGGCUUAACCCAGAACGGUCAGCCGAUACUGCGGGGCUAGAGUGCAGAAGGGGCAACUGGAAUUCUCGGUGUAGCGGUGAAAUGCGUAGAUAUCGUGAGGAACACCAGAGGCGAAGGCGGUUACCUGGACAGUUACUGACGCUCAGGCACGAAAGCAUGGGGAGCAAAAGGG